rnacentral:rRNA from 1 species
GACGAACGCUGGCGGCGUGCUUAACACAUGCAAGUCGAACGAAAAUACCAAGCUUGCUUGGUUGAUUAGUGGCGAACGGGUGAGUAACACGUGAGUAACCUGCCCCUUACUUUCCUGGAUAACUGCUCGAAAGGGUAGCUAAUACGGGAUAUUCUGACCAGCCUGCAUGGGUUGGUUUGGAAAGGUUGUUUUUCUGGUAAGGGAUGGGCUCGCGGCCUAUCAGCUUGUUGGUGGGGUGAUGGCCUACCAAGGCUUUGACGGGUAGCCGGCCUGAGAGGGUGGACGGUCACGCUGGGACUGAGAUACGGCCCAGACUCCUACGGGAGGCAGCAGUGGGGAAUAUUGCACAAUGGGCGCAAGCCUGAUGCAGCGACGCCGCGUGAGGGAUGAAGGCCUUCGGGUUGUAAACCUCUUUCGUCAGGGAACAAGGCACUGCUUUUUUGGUGGUGUUGAGGGUACCUGGAUAAGAAGCGCCGGCUAACUACGUG